UACCCGAUGCGUAUUAGAGUUAUCUCAGUAUACGAAUUUUAUAAUUUUUUGUUUGGCCAAUCUGGCCACGCUGGUUGCCUCCGAAGAACGUAAAUUAUAAAUUACGUUCUUCAUUGACAUUUCAAGAACAUCAAUUGCAGCUAAAUUAAGAGUUUCCUGAAUGAACACGAGGCGAACGUCUAUUUAGCCGGUUCUCAGCUGUAGGAACGGGAGUUGCUUCACGACACGAAAUUCCUGUGACGGCGAAAUUGCAAGCGUUUACGCUGUUUGCAAAAAUCAAUCCAGCAUGCAUAUUCUCGUAGAGUUGGUUAAUUCAGCGCGUUUGUUUAAUAAAAGUCUAGAGCGCAUAAACUAUUGGCACAUUGUUCGGUUCGACAUCGAAUCAAUGGUGCCUGCGCUCCAAGAAUGCGAUUCAUGAUGCUCGACUCUCAACAGCGAGUGUGGCAGCAGUCGCGAUGACCAUUAAAGGCGGUAGUGGUGCAUUACGCUUGAAAAUUCCUUCAGAUUUUCGUGAGGUCGGUGAUAUUGCGGUUGCUUUUAUGACAAUAGCCCCAAUGAGAAAUUCGUCGGAAUCACGAAAGGUACUAAUGGCAAGAGAUGAGCCUCGGUGCAUGAACCGAUUGGUUGCUGAUGACUUACGUCCGCCUAAGGGCCUGGUACACUAUCGGCGUGAUAUCAGCGUCCGAGUUGAGGUAGUUUUGGGUCCUUGACGAACUCCUGCGAGUGCAAUGAAUUUAAAGUACCAGCGCUUCCAUUAUCCUCGCAAACACAGUUCCUCGCAAGACAAGUACCGACAUGAGAUCUCGUAUGAACCUGGAAUGUUCCUGCAGCCUACUAUGCCACAGUUAGUCGAGGUAUGCUCCCGGUUAAAGGAUUAUUAGGAGCCCAGAAUCA